rnacentral:rRNA from 1 species
GAUGAACGCUGGCGGCGUGCCUAACACAUGCAAGUCGAGCGAUUUACUUCGGUAAAGAGCGGCGGACGGGUGAGUAACGCGUGGGUAACCUGCCCUGUACACACGGAUAACAUACCGAAAGGUAUGCUACUACGCGAUAAUAUACUUUUAUCGCAUGGUAGAAGUAUCAAAGCUUUUGCGGUACAGGAUGGACCCGCGUCUGAUUAGCUAGUUGGUAAGGUAACGGGGUACCAAGGCGACGUUCAGUAGCCGACCGGAGAGGGUGAGCGGCCACAUUGGAACUGAGAAACGGUCCAAACUCCUACGGGAGGCAGCAGUGGGGAAUAUUGCACAAUGGGCGAAAGCCUGAUGCAGCAACGCCGCGUGAGCGAUGAAGGCCUUCGGGCCGUAAAGCUCUGUCCUCAAGGAAGAUAAUGACGGUACUUGAGGAGGAAGCCCCGGCUAACUACGUGCCAGCAGCCGCGGUAACAC